rnacentral:rRNA from 1 species
ACGGGUGAGUAACGCGUGGGAAUCUACCUUGUGGUACGGAACAACCAAGGGAAACUUUGGCUAAUACCGUAUGAGCCCUUCGGGGGAAAGAUUUAUCGCCAUAAGAUGAGCCCGCGUAGGAUUAGCUAGUUGGUGAGGUAAUGGCUCACCAAGGCGACGAUCCUUAGCUGGUCUGAGAGGAUGACCAGCCACACUGGGACUGAGACACGGCCCAGACUCCUACGGGAGGCAGCAGUGGGGAAUAUUGGACAAUGGGCGCAAGCCUGAUCUAGCCAUGCCGCGUGUGUGAUGAAGGCCUUAGGGUUGUAAAGCACUUUCGCCGAUGAAGAUAAUGACUGUAGUCGGAGAAGAAGCCCCGGCUAACUUCGUGCCAGCAGCCGCGGUAAUACGAAGGGGGCUAGCGUUGUUCGGAAUUACUGGGCGUAAAGCGUACGUAGGCGGAUUGUUAAGUGAGGGGUGAAAUCCCGAGGCUCAACCUCGGAACUGCCUUUCAUACUGGCAAUCUUGAGUCCGGGAGAGGUGAGUGGAACUCCUAGUGUAGAGGUGAAAUUCGUAGA